AGUGAACGCUGGCGGUAGGCCUAACACAUGCAAGUCGAACGGCAGCACAGUAAGAGCUUGCUCUUACGGGUGGCGAGUGGCGGACGGGUGAGGAAUACAUCGGAAUCUACUUUUUCGUGGGGGAUAACGUAGGGAAACUUACGCUAAUACCGCAUACGACCUACAGGUGAAAGCAGGGGAUCUUCGGACCUUGCGCGAUUGAAUGAGCCGAUGUCGGAUUAGCUAGUUGGCGGGGUAAAGGCCCACCAAGGCGACGAUCCGUAGCUGGUCUGAGAGGAUGAUCAGCCACACUGGAACUGAGACACGGUCCAGACUCCUACGGGAGGCAGCAGUGGGGAAUAUUGGACAAUGGGCGCAAGCCUGAUCCAGCCAUACCGCGUGGGUGAAGAAGGCCUUCGGGUUGUAAAGCCCUUUUGUUGGGAAAGAAAAGCAGCAGGUUAAUACCCCGCUGUUCCGACGGUACCCAAAGAAUAAGCACCGGCUAACUUCGUG
rnacentral:rRNA from 1 species